rnacentral:piRNA from 1 species
UAAUAUUGAGGAGCUAGCAUGGAUGUGGU